AGAGUUUGAUCCUGGCUCAGGACGAACGCUGGCGGCGUGCCUAACACAUGCAAGUCGAACGGAGAGUAUAUGAACAAGACUUCGGUCAAGUGAGUAUAUUUCUUAGUGGCGGACGGGUGAGUAACGCGUGAGCAAUCUGCCUUUCAGAGGGGGAUAACGUUCUGAAAAGAACGCUAAUACCGCAUAACGUAUUUUGGUGGCAUCACCGAGAUACCAAAGGAGCAAUCCGCUGAAAGAUGAGCUCGCGUCUGAUUAGGUAGUUGGUGAGGUAACGGCCCACCAAGCCGACGAUCAGUAGCCGACCUGAGAGGGUGAUCGGCCACAUUGGGACUGAGACACGGCCCAAACUCCUACGGGAGGCAGCAGUGGGGAAUAUUGGGCAAUGGGGGAAACCCUGACCCAGCAACGCCGCGUGGAGGAAGAAGGUUUUCGGAUCGUAAACUCCUGUCCUCAGGGAAGAGCAGAAGACGGUACCUGAGGAGGAAGCCCCGGCUAACUACGUGCCAGCAGCCGCGGUAAUACGUAGGGGGCAAGCGUUGUCCGGAAUGAUUGGGCGUAAAGGGCGCGUAGGCGGCCGUUUAAGUCUGGAGUGAAAGUCCUUCUUUCAAGGAGGGAAUUGCUUUGGAUACUGGACGGCUUGAGUGCAGGAGAGGUAAGUGGAAUUCCCAGUGUAGCGGUGAAAUGCGUAGAGAUUGGGAGGAACACCAGUGGCGAAGGCGGCCUGCUGGGCCUUAACUGACGCUGAGGCACGAAAGCGUGGGUAGCAAACAGGAUUAGAUACCCUGGGAGUCCACGCUGUAAACGAUGAUUACUAGGGGGGGGUGACUGACCCCCAUCCGUGCCGCCGUUAACACAAUAAGUAAUCCACCUGGGGAGUACGUUCGCAAGAAUGAAAACUCAAAAGGAAUUGACGGGGACCCGCACAAGCGGUGGAGCAUGUGGUUUAAAUUCGAAGCAAACGCGAAGAACCUUACCAAUUCUUGACAUCCCUCUGACCGUUCCGUAAUGGGAACUUCUCUUCGGAGCAGAGGUGACAGGUGGUGCAUGGUUGUCGUCAGCUCGUGUCGUGAGAUGUUGGGUUAAGUCCCGCAACGAGCGCAACCCUUAUCCUUAGUAGCCAUCAUUUAGUUGGGCACUCUAGGGAGACUGCCGGGGAUAACCCGGAGGAAGGCGGGGAUGACGUCAAAUCAUCAUGCCCCUUAUGAAUUGGGCUACACACGUGCUACAAUGGCGUAAACAAAGGGAAGCAAAACCGCGAGGUCAAGCAAAUCCCAAAAAUAACGUCUCAGUUCGGAUUGUAGUCUGCAACUCGACAACAUGAAGCUGGAAUCGCUAGUAAUCGCAGAUCAGAAUGCUGCGGUGAAUACGUUCCCGGGUCUUCCACAAAAGGCCCGUCA
rnacentral:rRNA from 1 species